rnacentral:ncRNA from 1 species
UUUCUUCAGGGCAGGGUGUGAUUCCCGACCGGCGGUAUAGUCCGCGAACCCCGCAGGGGUUGAUUCGGUGAUGCAGAUUGCAGAUUCCGAAACCGACAGUAAAGUCUGGAUGGUAGAAGAA